ensembl:snRNA U6 U6 spliceosomal RNA
GUGCCAGUUUGUCACCACAUAAACUAAAACUGUAACAAUCCAGAGAAGAUUAGCGUGGCCCCUGUGCAAGGAUGACACACAAAUUCGUGAAGUGUUCUGUAUUUUG